rnacentral:rRNA from 1 species
CCUACGGGAGGCAGCAGUGGGGAAUUUUGGACAAUGGGCGCAAGCCUGAUCCAGCCAUGCCGCGUGUGGGAAGAAGGCCUUCGGGUUGUAAACCACUUUUGUCAGGGAAGAAACGGCUUUUUCUAAUACAGAGAGCUAAUGACGGUACCUGAAGAAUAAGCACCGGCUAACUACGUGCCAGCAGCCGCGGUAAUACGUAGGGUGCAAGCGUUAAUCGGAAUUACUGGGCGUAAAGCGUGCGCAGGCGGCUUUGCAAGACAGAUGUGAAAUCCCCGGGCUCAACCUGGGAACUGCAUUUGUGACUGCAUGGCUAGAGUACGGUAGGGGGGGUAUGGAAUUCCGCGUGUAGCAGUGAAAUGCGUAGAUAUGCGGAGGAACACCGAUGGCGAAGGGCAAUCCCCUGGACCUGUACUGACGCUCAUGCACGAAAGCGUGGGGGAGCAAACAGGAUUAGAUACCCUGGUAGUCCACGCCCUAAACGAUGUCAACUGGUUGUUGGACGGCUUGCUGUUCAGUAACGAAGCUAACGCGUGAAGUUGACCGCCUGGGGAGUACGGCCGCAAGGUUGAAACGUCAAAGGAAUUGA